rnacentral:rRNA from 1 species
GUGAGCCGUCAAAGUGUUGUCCAAGCCUGAUCUCCUCAGACCUCAGAAUCAAAGCAGGGCCAGGCUGGUCAGUACUUUGAUGGAAGACUGCUGGGAAUACCACAUGCCGGUGUUA